rnacentral:lncRNA from 1 species
GGGGGCAAGAUGCAAACAUUCCUUAUCAAACCAUGUAAUGUCCACGAACUCUAAAGAAAUUUGAAGAUUCGGCAAACUCAGGAAACUUACAAAAAUGACUACAACAGAUUCACAUCAUGUUCCAAAUACACAAGAUCAUACAACCCAAACAUCAAUGCAAGAUUUAAAACAAGAUUAUGUGAUAAGAAUCUAAACUAAUGGACUGCAACAAGAAGAAGAAAACAGCAGAAUAAAGAAAACAAACAAGUGCAGCAGAGUUUAAUAGAUCUGGUGUGGAUCUAAACUUAUAUGCAAAGGAAAGAAAUGAAAUAAGCUACCUUGGAUGUUUUAUGGAGUUGAAUAAAUGCGGUAAAUCUCAAGAAAAGCGGAUCCGAAUGCUGAAAGAUGAAGCUGACAGCUUCUUGGGUCAGAUUUCAAGAGUUGGCAAAAGCAAGGAAUUUAAGCCCAAAUUCAAAGAAUCUAGAUACAUUUUUUCUAAAAUUUCUCCAAUGAAAGUUGUUCCUUGAUGAAUGUAGAUGAUGCAGAAACAAAAAUGUCACCUAAAGGACUACAAUUGAAAUUGGAUUUUGAUUAGAAAUUAGGCUGAAUCAUCAGCCCUACUCACGAAUUUUCCAGAAAAAUUCUACCUUUUCUCUCUCCCCAUUUUCUUUCUUUUUUUUCUCUCUUUUUGUUGUUUUUGCAGACUUUUCUCCCCUCUCCCC